rnacentral:lncRNA from 1 species
UCCAUUCAUCCCAAACCCCAAAUCCUACAGGAGAAAAAAAAAAUUAAAAAGACUAUCACGGCUUAAAUUGUUAAUCCAUUUUACUCCAAUCUGCCUUAAUGGUAAUGAACCCCUAAAUUAAAACUUAUUUCAAAACACACCAGCAAUAUUUGAAGAGAUUAAACCACCUCAAAAUCGAAACCCUAUUUAACCCAACACCAAAUUGAAAUCAAAUUCAAACUAAACCCCAUACUCCACAAAAAGAAAAACCAACUAAACAAGGCACAAACCACCUCAAAAUCGAAACCCUAUUUAACCCAACACCAAAUUGAAAAGCCAACUUACAGAAUAACUACACCGUAUCAUUAGAUAACUAAUUCGUGUUUAAAAGUGUGAGACUUGCAGAAUUACCGAAAUAGAUGAAUCUUGCUUGUCCUCAGUCAGCUUUAGUAAUACAUAAGGAUAUGCUCCUCCUAAAUGAAUCUUUCUUUUUGAGUUCUGUGGCUUUCAGAUACUUUACUGUUGUUCUCUUCCAGUUCCUGCUCCAAUUGCGUGUGUUGAUUGGAAUGCCCCAAUUUAGAUAAACUACUAUAAAUAAACAUGACAUGUUCAUUUCUCACCUGGAAUUGAAUGAACAGGAGAGCUUUAGAAAUCUGGCUGGAAAAUCAGAAGUUGACAAUCACAGCU